rnacentral:misc_RNA from 1 species
CCGAGCUCGUGCCCUUUGGGGCCGACUCCCCCCCUGUGUUUACUUUACCUUUGUUGCUUUGGUAGGCCGCCCUCGCGGCCGCCGGCCCUAGGCUGGCGUGCGCCUGCCAGAGCCCCCUCAACCCUGUCAUACCAAGUACUGUCUGAAUAAAACCAAAUCAUUA